UCCGGCGGGGGCUAGCGUUGUUCGGAAUUACUGGGCGUAAAGCGCGCGUAGGCGGACCUGCAAGUCGGGGGUGAAAGCCCGAGGCUCAACCUCGGAACUGCCUUCGAUACUGCGGGUCUCGAGUCCGGGAGAGGUGAGUGGAAUUCCUAGUGUAGAGGUGAAAUUCGUAGAUAUUAGGAAGAACACCAGUGGCGAAGGCGGCUCACUGGCCCGGUACUGACGCUGAGGCGCGAAAGCGUGGGGAGCAAACAGG
rnacentral:rRNA from 1 species